GUUGGUACUUGUACCGACUGGAUGAGCAGCGAACGGGUGAGUAACGCGUGGGGAAUCUGCCUUUGAGCGGGGGACAACAUUUGGAAACGAAUGCUAAUACCGCAUAAAAACUUUAAACACAAGUUUUGAGUUUGAAAGAUGCAAUUGCAUCACUCAAAGAUGAUCCCGCGUUGUAUUAGCUAGUUGGUGAGGUAAAGGCUCACCAAGGCGAUGAUACAUAGCCGACCUGAGAGGGUGAUCGGCCACAUUGGGACUGAGACACGGCCCAAACUCCUACGGGAGGCAGCAGUAGGGAAUCUUCGGCAAUGGACGAAAGUCUGACCGAGCAACGCCGCGUGAGUGAAGAAGGUUUUCGGAUCGUAAAACUCUGUUGGUAGAGAAGAACGUUGGUGAGAGUGGAAAGCUCAUCAAGUGACGGUAACUACCCAGAAAGGGACGGCUAACUACGUGCCAGCAGCCGCGGUAAUACGUAGGUCCCGAGCGUUGUCCGGAUUUAUUGGGCGUAAAGCGAGCGCAGGUGGUUUAUUAAGUCUGGUGUAAAAGGCAGUGGCUCAACCAUUGUAUGCAUUGGAAACUGGUAGACUUGAGUGCAGGAGAGGAGAGUGGAAUUCCAUGUGUAGCGGUGAAAUGCGUAGAUAUAUGGAGGAACACCGGUGGCGAAAGCGGCUCUCUGGCCUGUAACUGACACUGAGGCUCGAAAGCGUGGGGAGCAAACAAGAUUAGAUACCCUGGUAGUCCACGCCGUAAACGAUGAGUGCUAGAUGUAGGGAGCUAUAAGUUCUCUGUAUCGCAGCU
rnacentral:rRNA from 1 species